GUUAGCAUGAUAGCACAUUAAAGAUUUAUGGUAAACGAUGGGGAUGCGUUCCAUUAGGAGUAGGCGGGGUAACGGCCCGACCUAGCCGACGAUGGAUAGGGGUCUGAGAGGAAGGUCCCCCACAUUGGAACUGAGACACGGUCCAAACUCCUACGGGAGGCAGCAGUGAGGAAUAUUGGUCAAUGGGCGAGAGCCUGAACCAGCCAAGUAGCGUGAAGGAUGAAGGUCCUACGGAUUGUAAACUUCUUUAUACGGGAAUAAAGUAUCCUACGUGUAGGAUUUUGUAUGUACCGUAUGAAUAAGCAUCGGCUAACUCCGUGCCAGCAGCCGCGGUAAUACGGAGGAUGCGAGCGUUAUCCGGAUUUAUUGGGUUUAAAGGGAGCGCAGACGGGAGAUUAAGUCAGUUGUGAAAGUUUGCGGCUCAACCGUAAAAUUGCAGUUGAUACUGGUUUCCUUGAGUGCAGUUGAGGCAGGCGGAAUUCGUGGUGUAGCGGUGAAAUGCUUAGAUAUCACGAAGAACCCCGAUUGCGAAGGCAGCUUGCUAAACU
rnacentral:rRNA from 1 species